GCGUUGUCCGGAUUUAUUGGGCGUAAAGAGCGUGUAGGCGGCCAGGUAGGUCUGCUGUGAAAACUCGAGGCUUAACCUCGAGAUGUCGGCGGAAACCAUCUGGCUGGAGUCCGGAAGAGGAGAGUGGAAUUCCUGGUGUAGCGGUGAAAUGCGCAGAUAUCAGGAAGAACACCCGUGGCGAAGGCGGCUCUCUGGGACGGUACUGACGCUGAGACGCGAAAGCGUGGGGAGCGAACAGG
rnacentral:rRNA from 1 species